rfam:Bacillus sp. FJAT-25509 Contig4, whole genome shotgun sequence.
UAAAAAAAAACCCCGCAUUUGCAGGGCCCCUCUUAUUAAAGUGUAAUCACUUAAAAGAAGGCAAAGGGAGAGGAGAAACCGGAGGAAGAACUUAUGGGGAAACGUAAGUCUUCUCCGCGG